AGCCGCAAUACGUGCUAAGGUAGCAUAAUAAUUUGUUUAUCAAAUAUAAACUAGAACAAAAGAUUUAAUAUCUUAAAAAAUUUUUUUAAUUAAAAAUUAAAUUUAUCUUAAAUGUAAUAAGACAUUUAUUAAAAAGAAAGACGACAAGACCCUAUUAAACUUAACUUUAGUUAGACUGGGGAAGUUCAUUAAUUAUUACUUUAAUAAAAUAUAUUAAACAAAAAUCUAUCUAAUUAAAUCAACCAGUUACUAUAGGGAUAACAGCGCAAUAAUAUUUCUAAAGCCCUUAUCUAAAAAAUAGUUUACAACCUCGAUGUUGAAUUAAUAUCCUAUUAUAAGCAAAAUUAUAAAAAGGAGGUCUGUUCGACCUUUUAAAAAUUACAUGAUUUGAGUUCAAACCGGUGUAAGCCAGGUUGGUUUCUAUCUUCUAUAAACUUUUUUACAGUACGAAAGGACCUAAAUAUAUUAAAAUUUUUCAAAUUGGCAGAAAAAUGCAUUAGAAUUAGAAUCUAAUUAUAAUUUA
rnacentral:rRNA from 1 species